rnacentral:tRNA from 1 species
GAUAUAGCUCAGUGGUAGUGCAUUUGCUUAUCAUGCCCAAGGUCCAGGGUUCAAUAACCAGUACA